rnacentral:rRNA from 1 species
GAUGAACGCUGGCGGCGUGCCUAACACAUGCAAGUCGAACGAAGAUUACGGACGGAAGUUUUCGGAUGGAAGCCUGUAAUUCUUAGUGGCGGACGGGUGAGUAACGCGUGGGCAACCUGCCCUAUACAGGGGGAUAGCAGCUGGAAACGGCUGGUAAGACCGCAUAAGUCGGUUAAAUCGCAUGAUUUGAUCGGGAAAUGAGCAAUCAGGUAUAGGAUGGGCCCGCGUCCGAUUAGCCAGUUGGCAGGGUAAAAGCCUACCAAAGCGACGAUCGGUAGCCGGACUGAGAGGUCGGACGGCCACAUUGGGACUGAGACACGGCCCAAACUCCUACGGGAGGCAGCAGUGGGGGAUAUUGCACAAUGGAGGAAACUCUGAUGCAGCGACGCCGCGUGAGUGAAGAAGUAUUUCGGUAUGUAAAGCUCUAUCAGCAGGGAAGAUGAUGACGGUACCUGACUAAGAAGCCCCGGCUAACUACGUG